ensembl:lncRNA
GGUCUUUUCACUGGGAGGGGUCAGGAUUGAGGUUCAAAGACAGAGCAUGAAGACACCAUCACUGCUCCCCGGAACCGAUGUAUGAUGCAACGCCAGGGAGGAGCGCCCAGACACGUCCACGGGUCCGUCCCGGAUCCCUCGUACCAUUGGCUGGUUACAAGUGGACGUGUGUGUGUGUGUGUUCCAUGUGGUGUGUGUGUUCCAUGUGGUGUGUGUGUGUUCCAUGUGGUGUGUGUGUGUGUUCCAUGUGGUGUGUGUGUGUGUUCCAUGUGGUGUGUGUGUUCCAUGUGGUGUGUGUGUGUUCCAUGUGGUGUGUGUGUGUUCCAUGUGGUGUGUGUUUUCCAUGUGGUGUGUGUGUGUUCCAUGUGGUGUGUGUGUGUUCCAUGUGGUGUGUGUGUGUUCCAUGUGGUGUGUGUGUGUGUUCCAUGUGGUGUGUGUGUGUUCCAUGUGGUGUGUGUGUGUUCCAUGUGGUGUGUGUGUGUGUUCCAUGUGGUGUGUGUGUGUGUUCCAUGUGGUGUGUGUGUGUGUGU